rnacentral:rRNA from 1 species
CAGCCGCCGCGGUAAUACGGAGGGGGCUAGCGUUGUUCGGAAUUACUGGGCGUAAAGCGCACGUAGGCGGCUUGGUAAGUUAGAGGUGAAAGCCCGGAGCUCAACUCCGGAAUUGCCUUUAAGACUGCCGAGCUAGUAGGUGAGAGAGGUAAGUGGAAUUCCGAGUGUAGAGGUGAAAUUCGUAGAUAUUCGGAAGAACACCAGUGGCGAAGGCGGCUUACUGGCUCAUUCUAGACGCUGAGGUGCGAAAGCGUGGGGAGCAAACAGGAUUAGAUACCCCCGUAGUCCCUGUCUCUUAUAC